rnacentral:rRNA from 1 species
GAUGAACGCUGGCGGCGUGCUUAACACAUGCAAGUCGAACGAUGAAGCCCAGCUUGCUGGGUGGAUUAGUGGCGAACGGGUGAGUAACACGUGAGUAACCUGCCCUUAACUCUGGGAUAAGCCUGGGAAACUGGGUCUAAUACCGGAUAGGAGCGCCUACCGCAUGGUGGGUGUUGGAAAGAUUUAUCGGUUUUGGAUGGACUCGCGGCCUAUCAGCUUGUUGGUGAGGUAAUGGCUCACCAAGGCGACGACGGGUAGCCGGCCUGAGAGGGUGACCGGCCACACUGGGACUGAGACACGGCCCGGACUCCUACGGGAGGCAGCAGUGGGGAAUAUUGCACAAUGGGCGAAAGCCUGAUGCAGCGACGCCGCGUGAGGGAUGACGGCCUUCGGGUUGUAAACCUCUUUCAGUAGGGAAGAAGCGAAAGUGACGGUACCUGCAGAAGAAGCACCGGCUAACUACGUG